GCGUAGGCGGCACUUUAAGUCAGGGGUGAAAGACGGCAGCUUAACUGUCGCAGUGCCUUUGAUACUGCCGGGCUUGAAUGUACAUGAGGCAGGCGGAAUGUGGCAAGUAGCGGUGAAAUGCAUAGAUAUGCCACAGAACACCGAUUGCGAAGGCAGCUUGCCAGGGUACGAUUGACGCUGAGGCACGAAAGCGUGGGGAUCAAACA
rnacentral:rRNA from 1 species